rnacentral:rRNA from 1 species
CCCUUAGAUGUUCUGGGCCGCACGCGCGCUACACUGAAUGGAUCAACGUGUUUUCCCUUCCCGAGAGGGACGGGUAACCCGCUGAACCCCAUUCGUGGUAGGGAUCGGAGCUUGCAAUUGUUCUCCGUGAACCGGGAAUUCCCAGUAAGCGCAAGUCAUAAGCUUGCGUUGAUUACGUCCCUGCCCUUUGUACACACCGCCCGUCGCUACUACCGAUUGAGCGGUCCGGUGAAAUCUUCGGAUCUGAGAGAUGUCUGAUUAAUUUCGGACGCCUUUUGGAAAAGUUGCUUAAACCUUACCAUUUAGAGGAAGGUGAAGUCGUAACA